rnacentral:rRNA from 1 species
AUUGAACGCUGGCGGCAGGCUUAACACAUGCAAGUCGAACGAGGGGCGGACGGGUGAGUAAUGAUUGGGAAUCUGGCUGAUGGAGGGGGAUAACGACGGGAAACUGUAGCUAAUACCGCGUACCAUAGGAUGAGCCCAAGUGGGAUUAGGUAGUUGGUGGGGUAACGUCAGACCAAGCCGACGAUCUCUAGCUGGGCUGAGAGGAUGACCAUCCACACCGGGACUGUGACACGGCCCGGACUCCUACGGUAGGCAGCAGUGGGGAAUAUUGCGCAAUGGGGGCAACCUGAUGCAGCCAUGCCGCGUGAAUGAAGAAGGCCUUCGGGUUGUAAAGUUCUUUCGGUGACGAGGCGUUAAUCACAGAAGAAGCACCGGCUAACUCCGUGCCAGCAGCCGCGGUAAUAC